AUUGAACGCUGGCGGCAGGCCUAACACAUGCAAGUCGAACGAGUCGCGGACGGGGGAGUCAUGUCUGGGAAACUGCGCGGGGGACGUGGAUCACUCCUGUAAACGGUAGCUAAUACGGCAUGCCAUCGGAUGUGCCCCGAUGGGAUUAGCUGGUAGGUGGGGUAACGGCUCACGUCGGCGAAGAUCCCUAGCUGGUCUGAGAGGAUGACCGGCGACGAUGGAACAGAGACACGGUCCCGAGUCCUGCGAGAGGCAGCGGUCGGGAAGAUUCAACAAUGGGCGCAAGCCGGAUGCAACGAUGCCCAGUGUAUGAAGGAGGCCAACGGGGUAGAAAAGGCUUUCGGCGGGGGGGCGUUACCAGGCGAAGAAGCAUCGGCUAACUCCGUGCCAGCAGCCGCGGUAAUAC
rnacentral:rRNA from 1 species